rnacentral:rRNA from 1 species
UACGUAGGGUGCAAGCGUUGUCCGGAAUUAUUGGGCGUAAAGAGCGUGUAGGCGGCCCGACAAGUCCGCUGUGAAAGUCCAGGGCUCAACCCUGGAAUGCCGGUGGAUACUGUCGGGCUAGAGUCCGGAAGGGGCGAGUGGAAUUCCUGGUGUAGCGGUGAAAUGCGCAGAUAUCAGGAGGAACACCAAUGGCGAAGGCAGCUCGCUGGGACGUGACUGACGCUGAGACGCGAGAGCGUGGGGAGCAAACAGG